CAAUUUCUUGAAUCUGUUUCCGGUAUUCCGAUUGGUGAUCAGCUUCUUUUGUGCUUAGAUGUGAAACUUGAAUUGCAUUGUCCCCUUAGUACUUAUAAGCUCCCAUCCGAUGACGGGGAAGUUAUCUUGUUUAAUAAAGCUAGAAUGAGGAGCAAUGCGCCACCUCCAUUACGGGGAAGUUAUAUUGUUUAAUAAAGCUAGAAUGAGGAGCAAUGCGCCACCUCCAUUACCCGAGGAAGUUGAGAUAAUUGAUAUUCCUGACCCGCCAUUGCCAUCGUCUUCUCAUGACCCUCACCCUUUGGAUGAUGCGACUGACCCUGCCUUAAAAGCCUUGCCUUCUUAUGAGAGGCAAUUUAGGUUCCACUUCCAGA
rnacentral:lncRNA from 1 species